rnacentral:lncRNA from 1 species
UAUUUUUGAUAGCGGGGCAGCGUUUCGAGACUGUUCGGAAAGGAAAAGCUCCGGUAAAGUGAUUGGAGAGCGCACGGUUGGCCUUAAGGUAGGCUACGACUUCCUUUCUUUUAGAUUGAGCUUAAUUGUGUGAAAACAUGUCGAUUGGAGUGAAUUGGGGGUGGGUACCAGUUUACUACCUUAGUUUGAUUAGAUACCUUAUGUUAGGAUCGAUUGGCCACAUUUCGGGUAUAGUAUCA